CCUUAAAUGACUGAUAAAAGUGUUAACCUUUUAAGUUAAAUCAUGUUGGUGAAAGCCAUCUUUAAGGA
rnacentral:tRNA from 1 species